rnacentral:ncRNA from 1 species
AAAAUGAUGAUGACAGGGAAUAGUAGGUGACUAGUGCCGGGUUCAGAGAUCUGCCGUUUGGUGUGAGGCAGACGAAGGCCAGCGCUGAACUCUCCUUGGAGUAGCCGACCAAAAGUAAAGGGGUGUACUUUGCGAGUAGGCUCGGACGGGGCUUCUACCGUUAAAAGGAAGGGGAUAUCGGAUAUUAAUCCCGUAUCUUACGAGGAGGACGGCUUCAUGUCGUCAAUUUGAGUGGUAUCGCGAAGCUAACCCUUCGUCUCAAGA